AUGUUAACUUUGACAAUGUGUAUACUAAAAUUGCAAUGCUACAGAGACCAGCAUGGUCCCAGUACAAGGAUCACAUAUGAAUUUGGAAGGCAUUUCAUAUUUUU